CUACAGUGAGCAGAGUCUGUGCCACUGCACUCCAGACUGGGCAACAGAGUGAGACUCUGUCUCAAAAAAUUAUAAUAAUAGUAAAUAAAUUUCUUUUCUUUUGUGUUCUUAGGCUAGAGCCUGCCUGCAGGGAGAAGGAGUUCUCUUCUGCUCCUUAAGUCUCAUCUGGGCAGGGCCCCAUGUCUGGAUGCUGCUGGGGACCAUGCUACUUCCACUGGAUGGACAGUGGCUAACUCAGCAGACGAACCAGAGCUUCCUGCCCUUUGCAGAUGGCAUGAAGAUAAGAGUUUGCCAAACAACUAAGAUGGGCUCUUGAUUGAGCAAAGAAACCACAACAUGGGACACACAGAGCCACCCUAUUGCCCUACUGUCAUUCAAGCUUAAAGGAGACAUAUCUACAGACAGGGUUUGAGCCUAGUAAUGGUGAGAACUUUCUUGGAUGUCUCAACAGCCUGGAGAUGAAAUUCCCAAGAAGGCAGAAAAUAGAGGUGGCACAUUGGUUUUAUUGUUUUUUAUUACAAUUAUAAAAGUAAUGCAUGCUUUUUGUAAAAAUUCAAACAGUACAGAGGAUAUAAAGGGGUAAAUAAAAACCUUCUCCCUGCCAAUUUCACUCCUUAGGGAUACCUAAUGUCAGCAGUUUCUUGUGCAUGCUUCUAUACACUUUCACUUGUAUUUAAUGUUUCUCAAAGUAAUAAAUGCACAACGCUUUUAAAAAGAAAGUCACAUAAACACAAAGCUU
rnacentral:lncRNA from 10 species